GCAGGCCGUUCGCACUGCGCCGCAGAGCAGCCUUCCCGCAGAACCAGGCACAGCAGAGACCGUCCUACGUCGGCUUCACCAGAGGGGUCCGUGCACGAGGGCCCCUUCGUGCGGAGCCAGCCCCCGGAGGGAGAGGACCGUGGACGAGAAGGUGGCAGCUGCAGCCCCCCUCCGGAGCCGGUCUGACCGUUUCCGUGUCGAACCCGCAGGCAAGGCCCGC